rnacentral:rRNA from 1 species
AGAUUGAACGCUGGCGGCAUGCCUAACACAUGCAAGUCAAGCGGCAGCGCGGGGGCGACCCUGGCGGCGAGCGGCGGACGGGUGAGUAAGGCAUCGGAAUCUGCCCUCGAUGUGGGGGAGUAACGUAGGGAAACGUUAACGCUAAUACCGCAUACGACCGAGAGGUGGAAAGACGGGGGACCGGAAAGGACCUCGCGCAGCAGGAUGAGCCGAUGUCCGAUUAGCUAGUUGGUGGGGUAACGGGCCUACCCAAGGCGACGAUCGGUAGCUGGUCUGAGAGGACGACCAGCCACACUGGGACUGAGACACGGCCCAGACUCCUAUGGGCGGCAGC